rnacentral:rRNA from 1 species
CCCAGACUCCUACGGGAGGCAGCAGUGGGGAAUAUUGCACAAUGGGGGAAACCCUGAUGCAGCGACGCCGCGUGAGUGAUGAAGUAUUUCGGUAUGUAAAGCUCUAUCAGCAGGGAAGAUAAUGACGGUACCUGACUAAGAAGCUCCGGCUAAAUACGUGCCAGCAGCCGCGGUAAUACGUAUGGAGCAAGCGUUAUCCGGAUUUACUGGGUGUAAAGGGAGCGCAGACGGCAGGGCAAGUCUGAUGUGAAAGUCCGGGGCUCAACCCCGGGACUGCAUUGGAAACUGUUGAACUGGAGUACAGGAGAGGUAAGCGGAAUUCCUAGUGUAGCGGUGAAAUGCGUAGAUAUUAGGAGGAACACCAGUGGCGAAGGCGGCUUACUGGACUGUAACUGACGUUGAGGCUCGAAAGCGUGGGGAGCAAACAGGAUUAGAUACCCGCGUA